GGGGAUUUAGCUCAGCGGUAGAGCAUUUGCCUAGUAAGCACAAGGCCCUGGAUUCGGUUCUCAGCUCCG
rnacentral:tRNA from 1 species